CCGUAAUCUUCAACAGUGAUUGAGAUUACUG
rfam:Candidatus Izimaplasma sp. HR1 chromosome, complete genome.